rnacentral:rRNA from 1 species
AUCGUAACUCCUACGGGAGGCAGCAGUGGGGAAUAUUGCACAAUGGGGGAAACCCUGAUGCAGCGACGCCGCGUGAACGAAGAAGGUAUUCGUAUCGUAAAGUUCUGUCCUAUGGGAAGAUAAUGACAGUACCAUAGAAGAAAGCUCCGGCUAAAUACGUGCCAGCAGCCGCGGUAAUACGUAUGGAGCGAGCGUUGUCCGGAAUUAUUGGUCGUGAAGGGUACGCAGGCGGUUUAAUAAGUCGAAUGUUAAAGAUCGGGGCUCAACCCCGUAAAGCAUUGGAAACUGAUAAACUUGAGUAGUGGAGAAGAAAGUGGAAUUCCAAGUGUAGUGGUGAAAUACGUAGAUAUUAGGAGGAAUACCAGUAGCGAAGGCGACUUUCUGGACUCAAACUGACGCUGAGGUACGAAAGCGUGGGGAGCAAACAGGAUUAGAUACCCUUGUAGUCCUAGAGC